CCCCAAUCGAGGAACAAAGUUGAACAGCACUAGGAACCCUCACCGCGAGACCACCAGGGACUAAUCCAGACUGUCCUGAAACAGUCAACGGUUGUCUGAGGGGAAACCGGAGCUACAAUGUGGCCCUGCUCGAAGAAAAGCUCUUCGGGAACAUUCAGUCUCAAUUGGUCGCGGGAGGGCAAGAGCUGGAGUCCACCCCGAACUGCAUGUUUUAUAAUAUCGGAGGAAGUUGGAAUAUGCAAAGAAAACCCACGCAUGCAAGGGGAGAACAUGCAAACUCCACUCAGGACGGUCACAGCUGAGAUUCAAACCCAGAUCUAUGGAGCAGUUGUCAUUUAACAUGAUCAUGUUUAGUCGAAUUACGGCAGUAUUACCAAUUGCGUUUGUUGUCCAUUGUAAUUCAUCCCACAUGACAUUGCGCAGUCAGUAAAAAUGCUGAUUCAGUAGCUUCAUAAGUCUAAAAAAUGACCUGUUAA